rnacentral:lncRNA from 1 species
GCUGGAGUGAAAUGUGACAUUACAAACACCACCAUGAUCCACUUGGAAACGUGUGUUUUAUUAUUUUAUUUUCCCUAGCAGGGAGGAGAGCCCUGGGCCAGACCAACUCGAAGACGCUGCAUCAGCACGGCAGGUCAAGUGAACACUGAACCUGCAGCAAGCACAGAGCUUGCUGCAUCCUUGGACUCCCUCCUUUCCAGAAAAUUAAGUGAGGACACUCAGAAAGUAGAGAAAGAAAAGGAGACGUCGACUGUACCCCCAUCCUACACAUCAUAGUGAUUUAUACUAAAAUUAAUGGCACUCAGCUGCUCGCCAACUCCGUUCCCACAGCAGCAGGAAUGUCGCACACUGUCUGAGAAAACCUGCACUCCUGAAAGCAGCACAUCUUUUGCAGUAAGAGAAUGCUGAAUAGCUGCAAGCAAACACCAGACACCGGGCAGUCCCUCCUGCAGCACCUGAGACUAUUUGACACUACUGCAAAGGAGGUGACGUGGUCUGAUUGACGGCCGUGUUCAUUUUUGCAAGAAAAAGAGGAAAAAGCCACUGAAGGCAACCUCCAUCAGCUGAACGAGCUAUCAGCUGACACAUCAUCCAUCCUACAGCAGCUCAAGGCAAUACCCACAAUAGUUCAGCGUUGCAAGCAGCCUGUCAGCAAGCAGAAUUCUUGCUGUGCUUUACAGCAUGGAUACGAACUCACCUAGCAUGCCUCAGCAUGCAUUCAUGCUGGCAGUGUAGAUCCUUCCACCAUAAAAGUCAACUGUGCCACCGGAGCAGCCCUGACUUCAACCAGUCUAUAUGAAGGGGGAAAAGUCAUGCGUGUGGUUUACGGCUUUGUUUUCUCAACCUUUUGCAGUGGUGUGGUUGUUCUGUGUCUAA